CGCGAAUGGCUCAUUACAACAGCUAUAAUUUACUAGUUCUUGAUCCUAUAUGGAUAACUGCGGUAAUUCUGGAGCCAAUACAUGCAUCAAGCCUCGGCCUUCGGGUUCGGGGUGCAAUUAUUGGAGCAAAACCAGUCUUGUACUGUUUGCUAACUCUGGAUAAUUCUGCUUAUCGCAUGGUCUUGUACCGGCGAAGUUUCUUUCAAGUAUCUGCUUUAUCAACUAUCGUUGGUAGUUUAUUGGACUACCAUGGUGUUGACGGGUAACGGAGAAUCAGGGUUUGACUCCGGAGAGGGAGCCUUAGAAACGGCUACCAUGUCUAAGGAUAGCAGCAGGCGCGAAAAUUACCCAAUAUCAAAACGAUGAGGUAGUGACGAGAAAUAACGAGAUCGUUCUCUUUGAGGUCGAUUAUUGGAAUGAGUACAAUCCAGAAAUUUUAACGAGUACCUACGAGAGGGCAAGUCUGGUGCCAGCAGCCGCGGUAAUUCCAGCUCUCGUAAUGUAUAGAAUUAUUGUUGCGAUUAAAAAGUUCGUAGUUGGAUUGUCAAGCGGGUAUGGGUCCAGCUUCGUGCUGCGUACUCAAUACCCGCAUUUUGUUGGUUUUCGCGGCGUCGAUCCGUCGGCGUUCGUGAUGCCAACAGGAUUACUUUGAACGGCUCAAGUGCUUAAAGCGAGUCUUAUGACUGAAUACCGGUGCAUGGAAUAAUGGAACAAGGUUGCGGCCGAGUUUUAUUGGUUUUGUCGGCUGAAACAAUGGUUAACAGGAACAGCCGGGGGCAUUCGUAUCGCUGCGCGAGAGGUGAAAUUCGUGGACCGUAGCGAGACGCCCGACAGCGAAGGCAUUUGCCAAGAGUGUUUUCAUUAAUCAAGAACGAAAGUCAGAGGUUCGAAGGCGAUCAGAUACCGCCC
rnacentral:rRNA from 1 species